rnacentral:misc_RNA from 1 species
CAACCUUCCCUGGUGAACACAGGAGUGGAAAAGGGUGGCAAUGGUGACCAAAGUGGGGACAAUAACGACCCCACGGAUGUGUAAAACGCCAGGGGCGUCUGCAGCCACGCAUAUCACAUGAAUGCGCUCACAUAAAUGGCCAACGCAGGCGUGCGGUGUCUUUUUUCCCUACUCUUCCCCUUCCCCUCAUCCCUAUCCCCUUCGGCGCCUCACCUACCGGACGCUGGGCCGCUGGCUUCAUUCUUCGCGUGCGAGUGCACGCGCUCUCCCGACGACACCGUUGCUGUUCGCGUGUUCUUCAGCGGUAGGGCCCUUUUUGCUUUCAUUUUUUAUGCGUUUUCUCCUCUCUCUGUCUGGGUGGUGUGUGUGGGUGAGUGUUGGUGUGCUAUCAUACUUGAGUACGUGUCCUCUCACUGCGUGAUGGCACUGCUCUCUCCUCUUUUCUUCGCUUUCUCUGGGGUGUGUAAGUCAGAAACUUAAGAGCAGCAAGCUGAAAAAAAAAAACUCAUAACAUGUGCAAGUGCGGGACGAGGGGGGGAGCGGCAGUGGUGGCGGUUGACGCGCGCUCACCCUCUCCUCUACUCCCCCAGACACCUACACAGGCUCGGUCACGUGCACUUUUUUCUCUCGGCACCUCGUCUCUCGUCGGUGGUGCAGCAGCCCCGUUUCUUAUUCAUGGAAGAGGAAGGCAGGAGUGGGUGGCGCAGGAUGGAGGGCUGUGGCUUCCGCCCCUCUUUUGGUACAGGGUCUCCUACGCGGUUCCCUUUUCAGUCUUGGGGUCACGCGGAGAGAGCGGUGCGCCGGCAUGCGAGGACGAAGGAGAGCUGUGAAGUUGUGUGUAUGUGUAUGUGUGUACGGGGUGCCAGUCAUGCGAAUACCUUUCUCCUGUGGUUGCAGUAUCCUUGUGAUGUACACAUUGUCGAAUGACAAGGAUGCGAAGCUUCCUGCCCUGGAAGAUGAGUGUGGGGGGGAGCUUCAGUCUGCACCACUCGCUCAGCAGCAAGCUUUUUUUUCACCGCAAAAAGAGGUGCACGAUGAGCUGCCCCACAGUGCUGCCUCUUAUCAGCUUCCACUUGCCCUCUCUGACCCCUGACCUUUUCCUAUGCGGGGGGGUGUGCGUCCACAUGCACGUCUCCACUCUCUCUCCUCCCCUGACCGACGGGAAAG